AGAGUUUGAUCAUGGCUCAGGAUGAACGCUGGCGGCGUGGAUAAGGCAUGCAAGUCAAACGGCCCGCAAGGGCAGUGGCGAACGAGGUAGUAACACGUAGGUACUUCCCCCAAAGUCAAGAAUAACUAGUCGAAAGAUUAGCUAAUACUUGAUAGUCUCUUCGGAGUAAAGAUUUAUCGCUUUGGGAAAGGCCUGCGGGAUAUCAGCUAGUUGGUAGGGUAACGGCCUACCAAGGCUAUGACGUCUAGGGGAGCUGAGAGGCUGACCCCCACCGAUGGUACUGAGACACGGACCAUACACCUACGGGUGGCUGCAGUCGAGAAUCUUCCGCAAUGGGCGAAAGCCUGACGGAGCGACGCCGCGUGACUGAUGAAGUCCUUAGGGACGUAAAGGUCUUUUGUGAGGGAGAAAGUUUAUUGAUAGUACCUCAAGAAUAAGAGGCUCCAAACUCUGUGCCAGCAGGAGCGGUAAUACAGAGGCCUCAAGCGUUAUCCGGAAUUAUUGGGCGUAAAGGGUGUGUAGGUGGUCUUGUUAGUCUUUUGUUAAAUUCUUCGGCUUAACCGGGGACCUGCGAAAGAAACGGCAAGACUCGAGUGUGCAAGGGGUGUAUGGAACUCAUGGAGUAGGGGUGAAAUCCGUUGAUAUCAUGGGGAACACCAAAAGCGAAGGCAAUACACUGGUGCAUUACUGACACUGAAACACGAAAGCGUGGGUAGCGAAUGGGAUUAGAUACCCUCGUAGUCC
rnacentral:rRNA from 1 species